GAUGAACGCUGGCGGCGUGCCUAAUACAUGCAAGUCGAGCGAACGGACGAGAAGCUUGCUUCUCUGAUGUUAGCGGCGGACGGGUGAGUAACACGUGGAUAACCUACCUAUAAGACUGGGAUAACUUCGGGAAGCCGGAGCUAAUACCGGAUAAUAUUUUGAACCGCAUGGUUCAAAAGUGAAAGACGGUCUUGCUGUCACUUAUAGCUGGAUCCGCGCUGCAUUAGCUAGUUGGUAAGGUAACGGCUUACCAAGGCAACGAUGCAUAGCCGACCUGAGAGGGUGAUCGGCCACACUGGAACUGAGACACGGUCCAGACUCCUACGGGAGGCAGCAGUAGGGAAUCUUCCGCAAUGGGCGAAAGCCUGACGGAGCAACGCCGCGUGAGUGAUGAAGGUCUUCGGAUCGUAAAACUCUGUUAUUAGGGAAGAACAUAUGUGUAAGUAACUGUGCACAUCUUGACGGUACCUAAUCAGAAAGCCACGGCUAACUACGUG
rnacentral:rRNA from 1 species